UUUUAUGAUGGAAUUUUCGAAUCGACGAUCAGCUCCGUUAGACUUGAUUUAGCGUAUUUUGAAGUUUUUAGAAAAUAAUUUUUGCGAUUUUUCGAUAUCGUUUACCUAGCAAUCGAAAUGAUUCAAAACCAACAAUUUUAACGACUGAAAAUAAAAAUUCUAUAAAAAGUGAUGAUAUAGCACUAAAAUUUUCGAUCAGAAAUAUUGAACUUGUUGUAGAUAGUAUAAUGAAUUUUGUAUCAAAAUUUCAUCUGAUUUGAAUACUUCUACAUCGUUAAACUUGAAAACGGCAGAUAUCAACCAUUAAAAAUUAUUGAUUUUGAAUCCUUUCGAUCACUAGGUAAAUGAUAUUAAAAAAUCGUAAAAAUUAUUUUCUAGAAACUUCAAAUACCCUAGAUCAAGUUUAACGGAGCCGAUCGUCGAUUCGAAAAUUCCAUCAUCGAAAACGGCUUAGGAGCACGGAGGCCUCCGUGCUCCUGAGAGCACAGCAGGCUUGCUCUAUAUAUAUAUAUAUA
rnacentral:lncRNA from 1 species